CCUACGGGUAGCAGCAGUGGGGAAUAUUGGACAAUGGGCGAAAGCCUGAUCCAGCCAUGCCGCGUGUGUGAAGAAGGCCUUCGGGUUGUAAAGCACUUUCAGUGGGGAAGAAAGCCUUGGGGCUAAUACCCUCGAGGAAGGACAUCACCCACAGAAGAAGCACCGGCUAACUCCGUGCCAGCAGCCGCGGUAAUACGGAGGGUGCGAGCGUUAAUCGGAAUUACUGGGCGUAAAGCGCGCGUAGGCGGUCUGAUAAGCCGGUUGUGAAAGCCCCGGGCUCAACCUGGGAACGGCAUCCGGAACUGUCAGGCUAGAGUGCAGAAGAGGAAAGUAGAAUUCCAGGUGUAGCGGUGAAAUGCGUAGAGAUCGGGAGGAAUACCAGUGGCGAAGGCGGCCUUCUGGACUGACACUGACGCUGAGGUGCGAAAGCGUGGGUAGCAAACAGGAUUAGAUACCCGAGUAGUC
rnacentral:rRNA from 1 species